CCGAGAGGCGUAGGCGAUGGACAACGGGUUGAUAUUCCCGUACCGAUGAAGAACCGACCCUACUGAGCCGGGGAUACUAACCACCCGAGCCACCAUGACCGUGACCCCUUGUGGGUCGCGGGGUGUGUGGUGAGGCUGGGACCUGAUCCGGGGAGGUAAACGUGUUAACAGGUGUGACGCAGGAAGGUAGCCGAGCCAGGCGAUGGUUGUCCUGGUCUAAGCAUGUAGGGUGACCCGUUGGUAAAUCCGCGGGUUGUGUGCCUGAGAUGUGAUGGGACUCUCUUAGGUGAGAGAAUUCGGUGAUCCUAUGCUGCCAAGAAAAGCAUCGACGUGAGGUUCUAGUCGCCCGUACCCCAAACCGACUCUGG
rnacentral:rRNA from 1 species